UGCCACUCGCAGGUAAAUCUUCGGAAAAAAAAAAUCAGGCUCCCACCUAGCCCAAUAAAGACCCGUGUUCUACGAGAAAGAGUCAAGGCCUACACGGCUACUCCCACCGUCCCACGGGCCACGGCCCUUUACCCCCAAGAAGCUCUGCGCUUCUUCAGGCACGCGCACCACCACCAGUCCACCUGCCUCCUCCGCAGCUGCUGAUGACCACAUUUGCCUUCGCGUUCGUGUUCAAGGCUUUGCGCAAUGUCCUCGAGCCGGUGCGCAGCUGCAUUCGUGGUCUGCAAGGUGCCAAGGUGGUGGAGUUCCAGGAUUAGGUGCACGCCUCCUUUCCCCACGUGUAUGUUGUUUCGAGGCGUUUGAUGGAAGCAGAGCACGGAAGGUGUUGGAUGAAAUGUUGGUGAGGAAUGUGGUUUAACGCGAUGAUCAAUGGCUUCGCCGGAUGGGGUGAGGUUGAGUAUGUGAGGCGUAUGUUUGAUCAAAUACCCUGCAGCAAUGUUGUCUCAUGGACCAGGAUGAUUGAUAGGUAUACUGCCUCUAAGAGGAGGCUGUUGCUCUUUUCUGCUAGAUGAUGGCUGGAGGCAUUAGCCUGAGUGAGGUAACUGGUUUACUAGAUAUUCCUGCAAAUCUAGUCUUGGAUGGAUCAUUAUGGGUGAGAUGCCGCAUGGGUAGAAGAAACCUAGUGCCAUGGACAUCGAUAGUUUCUGGUUUUGCAAUGCAUGGGCUGUCAGUUGAGGCACUUGAGUUGUUUGCAGAGAUGAGAAGAGCAGGGAUUAGGCCCAACAGAGUCACCUUCUUGAGCGUCGUCGAUGCUUGCAGUCAUGGGGGGCUGGUAAAGCAAGGGCUAGCGUUUUUUCAAAAAAGCAUGGUUUUAUAGUACAAUAUAGAUCCAGGGGUCGAACAUUUUGGGUGCAUCAUAGACAUGCUAGUUGCUAGCUAGGGCUUGGAUGGUUGUGUGAGGCCGAGCAAACAAUAGACAAGUUGCAGUCCUAUGGAGGAUAAUGUUGGGUGUUUGCAGUAAGUGUGGAGAAGUUGAGAUGGGGGAGCGGGCGAUGAAGAAGAUACUAGACUUAGAGAAUGCGAAGGUGAUUUUGCGGUGCUAUCUGAUUUGCUUAAUGAGCUUGGUAGGUUCAGUGAUGCUGAACAAGCACGGAAUUUAUUGGAUGAGAGGAAAAGGAGAUCUAUUAAGGUUCUUGGGAUUGCUUUGGUUAAUGAGAUUCAGUAGUUGCUGAUUGUCCAGUCUGAUGAGAGGAAGAAGCUCUCUCAAAUUUUAUUGCAACCUUACCACUUUAAGCUCCCUGUACUAUACCAACUUCAAUAAAUCUCCAGAUAUUUUACCAUUUUUUUUCUCCCAUGUAAAGAAACAAAAUUAAAUUUAAUUGUUUCUUGGUUGCUAAAUAGAUUGUCAUAAUUGAUAUGCCUGCAGCCCAAUAUUUGUUAACUCAGCGCUAUCAUUGUGCCAUUUCACUUUGUUUUCCUUUUGUGCCCUCAUAAUAAGCCUCAAAGGCAUGCUGCAUUUGUUCACUUGUUUCCUCCUAAAAAAUUACUGCUUUGCCCAGUACAGCUGUUUGUUAGAGCUUUUACCUAUUUUACAUUUCCUUGCAGGAAGCAGGUGAAGUGAACCUCAUGUCUAGUUCUUGCUCCUCUUUAACUAAAUUGUCUUGUAAUAUGGAAGCUGUAAAGAAGCUCCAUGCUCAUCUCAUUAUUCCUGGCCUGCACAUCUGUCAAUAUGCAGUGUCCAAGGUUAUCAGAUCUGAUGCUCUUUAGAUAUUAGAUUUGGUUUUUACUCAUAAUGUAUUUGAGCAGAUCGAAUUACCAACAACUUUUAUUUGGAAUGCUCUACUCAGCGGUUAUGGAUAGGUUGGUGAUAUUAGUAGUUCAUUUAUCAUUGCCUUCUUUGCUUUGGUCUUCACUAUUUCUUUUUUCUUUCAUGCUGAAUCCUAGCAAGGACAGUAUGUUCCUCUUACAGUAAUUCAUUGCCAUGUAGAUGUGGAGAUCAAUUAUCAUUCACGUUGUAUACAGAAAGUCAUUUACAUGACUAAAUUGUGUCCUUGCAGCUGGGGAAAAAACCAUGUAGAUUGUAGCCACUGAAUGACAUCAAUCUCGAGCUAUAUAUAGAAACCUUGCUCAUGUGCUAAAAAAUAACUAGCGCAGUACCUGACUACCUUCUGCAUAAUUGGACAGUCUAUAUAAGCUGUGCAUGUUGGGGUUGCUGGGAUAUGGUAUGUCUUCAGGCAGCAUCAAUGACAGUAACUGUCCUGGUAUUUUACCUUCCUAUGGAUGGUUAGAUUGAAGGUGCUUGUGCUCAGCAUGGACACUCCAUGUCGGCUGCUGCAAAAGUUAACAUCAACAUGUCGCUUCUUUGGUGCAUUUGCCUUUCUGUGCCAUGCCAUGUAUGUGUUUUGUAUCAUUAUGCAUAAAGAGGUGUAUGAAUUGAGUUGUAUUCUGCAUGAUCCAUAUACUUGGUGAUGCAGGGUCUAGAUGUUGAUAUUAUCUGAAGAUUGUUUUACGAUUUUGGUCGACAAUUUUCAAUAGCUUGUGAGAAUAUCCAGUUUUACCACCCAUGAUGGCAUGAUCAUCACAUCCUUGACGAUCUGCACAGGCACAACGCAUGCAGCCAAGUACCACCCGCCGCAUCCAUUGAAGUGGGGGACGUUUUUUAACUCUGCUUGCCCUACCCUACCUACGGCUACGGGCCUUACCGCCAUGAAGAGACCUUGGUCCUUGCAGCUUGUCCUGCCGCCAUGGAGAUCCUGUCCUGCUGCCCAUGUAAUGGGGGGCACUGUACACGUACCCUCCUUCCCCAAGGCCCCAGCUAAGCAUGCACGCAUUUGUCCAUUGUCUACUGCCGCCGCUACUGUUCAUUGGCUGGCCCUACCUCACUCCAGUUAUUGCACGAUGCACGGUAAAGCUGGACCAAAGAGUCAAGUGUGAGAUCCUCAACAUGGACCUUGCAGAUGCACAGCAGCAGCGUUCAGUAACAACAGCAGCAGGAAGGAGCAAGACUCCGUCAGAAUUCAGUAACAACAUGUAGGAGUAUGUGAUGAAGCUUUUUACCUGCUUUUCUCUAGCUUUCCAGCCAUCACUUUUCAGACCUUCAGGAGAAUCUCAAAUGCACGGCUCAGCAGCUCUUGUCCUGUGGCUCUUGUCUGCUUGCCUUGCAGACUCCAGUGGCAGUCACUGCAUGCAGAGCCUUCCCCUGUGCACACCUAAUCCAAUCCAGUGCUCUUUUCUCACAGCAAGAAAACCCAAAAAACAGAAAGAGAAGAGGACAAGGCGACACUAAAACUAUUGCUCUUCUUUGGAUUCUGAUAUUCCCCCAAUUAUUGUUUUUGUUCUGUUUCUCAUGUAACUCUCAGAACAUUGGAUCCUAUAAUUUUGUAACUUUGUUUGUGUGUUUACUAGCUCAAAUUAUUAGCAUAAUAAUCAGCCGGGUCGGAGCUCUUAUUUGUUCACCAUGUUGUGUGGACUGAAUUAAAACCAUCUGAACUCUACUUGUCUUGCAAUCAUGUGGA